GCUACGGGUGGCUGCAGUGGGGAAUAUUGGGCAAUGGACGCAAGUCUGACCCAGCAACGCCGCGUGAAGGAAGAAGGCUUCCGGGUUGUAAAAUUCUUUUAAGGGAGAAGCGCAGAAGACGGUACCCCUUUAAUAAGCCACGGCUAACUACGUGCCAGCAGCCGCGGUAAUACGUAGGUGGCAAGCGGUGUCCGGAUUUACUGGGUGUAAAGGGCGUGCAGCGGGGAAGGGAAGUCAAAUGUGAAAUCCCGGGGCUCAACCGCGGAACGGCAUUUGAAACUGUCUGUCUUGAGAAGCGGAGAGGUAAUCGGAAUUCCGAGGGUAGCGGUGAAAUGCGUAGAUAGUAGGAAGAACACCAGUGGCGAAGGCGGAUUACUGGACGCGAACUGACGGUGAGGCGCGAAAGCGUGGGGAGCAAACAGGAUUAGAUACCCCAGUAGUC
rnacentral:rRNA from 1 species